rnacentral:rRNA from 1 species
GGGCCAGACUCCUACGGGAGGCAGCAGUGAGGAAUAUUGGUCAAUGGGCGGGAGCCUGAACCAGCCAAGUCGCGUGAGGGAAGACGGUCCUACGGAUUGUAAACCUCUUUUGUCGGGGAGCAAAGCGAGUCACGUGUGACUCAUUGAGAGUACCCGAAGAAAAAGCAUCGGCUAACUCCGUGCCAGCAGCCGCGGUAAUACGGAGGAUGCGAGCGUUAUCCGGAUUUAUUGGGUUUAAAGGGUGCGCAGGCGGAAUGUCAAGUCAGCGGUAAAAUUUCGGGGCUCAACCCCGUCGUGCCGUUGAAACUGGCGUUCUUGAGUGAGCGAGAAGUAUGCGGAAUGCGUGGUGUAGCGGUGAAAUGCAUAGAUAUCACGCAGAACUCCGAUUGCGAAGGCAGCAUACCGGCGCCCAACUGACGCUGAAGCACGAAAGCGUGGGUAUCGAACAGGAUUAGAUACCCGCGUAC